rnacentral:rRNA from 1 species
GAUGGCCAGGCUGUCUCCACCCGAGACUCAGUGAAAUUGAAAUCGCUGUGAAGAUGCAGUGUACCCGCGGCAAGACGGAAAGACCCCGUGAACCUUUACUAUAGCUUGACACUGAACACUGGUCCUUGAUGUGUAGGAUAGGUGGGAGGCUUUGAAGCGUGGACGCCAGUCUGCGUGGAGCCAUCCUUGAAAUACCACCCUUUAAUGGCUGGUGUUCUAACGUGGGCCCGUAAUCCGGGUUGCGGACAGUGUCUGGUGGGUAGUUUGACUGGGGCGGUCUCCUCCUAAAGAGUAACGGAGGAGCACGAAGGUUAGCUAAUCCUGGUCGGACAUCAGGAGGUUAGUGCAAUGGCAUAAGCUAGCUUGACUGCGAGAGUGACGGCUCGAGCAGGUGCGAAAGCAGGUCAUAGUGAUCCGG